CUAAUCGAACCAUCUAGUAGCUGGUUCCCUCCGAAGUUUCCCUCAGGAUAGCUGGCAGUGGAUUUUUCAAACAGUCUUGUCAGGUAAAGCGAAUGAUUAGAGGCAUUGGGGGUGAAACACUCUCGACCUAUUCUCAAACUUUUAAUGGGCAAGUAGAGCGACUUUCAGGGUGCUUAAUUGACCCCGCUCAUUCAGAUGCAUCACUGCUUAGUGGGCCAUUUUUGGUAAGCAGAACUGGCGAUGUGGGACGAUCCGAACGCUUAGCUAAGGUGCCAAACCUUGCGCGCUCAUCAGACCCCUUAAAAGGUGUUGGUUGAUAUUGACAGCAGGACGGUGGCCAUGGAAGUCGGAACCCGC
rnacentral:rRNA from 1 species